GAGGGCAAGUCUGGUGCCAGCAGCCGCGGUAAUUCCAGCUCCAAUAGCGUGUAUUAAAGUUGUUGCAGUUAAAAAGCUCGUAGUUGAACUUCGGGGUCUACCCAUUGGUCAGGCUUAAUUGUCUGCACUGGUGAGAUGGAUCUCUACCUUCUGAGGAACUUUCAUGCCAUUUAUUUGGUGUGGUUGGAAAUCAGGACUGUUACUUUGAAAAAAUUAGAGUGUUUAAAGCAGACUAUCGUCUGAAUACAUUAGCAUGGAAUAAUGAAAUAGGACGGACUGAUUCUAUUUCGUUGGUUUCUAGGAUCACCGUAAUGAUUAAUAGGGAUAGUUGGGGGCAUUAGUAUUCAAUUGUCAGAGGUGAAAUUCUUGGAUUUAUUGAAGACUAACUACUGCGAAAGCAUUUGCCAAGGAUGUUUUCAUUAAUCAAGAACGAAAGUUAGGGGAUCGAAGACGAUCAGAUACCGUCGUAGUCUUAACCAUAAACUAUGCCGACUAGGGAUCGGACGAAGUUAAUUUUAUAAUGACGCGUUCGGCGCCUUACGGAAAC
rnacentral:rRNA from 1 species